rnacentral:rRNA from 1 species
AACGAACGUUGGCGGCGUGGAUUAGGCAUGCAAGUCGUACGCGAAAGAGGGGGCAACUCCUCGAGUAAAGUGGCGAACGGGUGAGUAACGCGUAGGAAACCUGCCUUCGAGAUGGGGAUAACACUCCUAACGGGGUGCUAAUACCGAAUGACACUGCGGGAUCGCAUGGUUCUGCAGUCAAAGGUGGCCUCUGCUUGCAAGCUACCACUCAAAGAUGGUCCUGCGUCCCAUUAGCUAGUUGCGGGGUAACGGCCACCAAGGCGACGAUGGGUAGCCGAUCUGAGAGGAUGACCGGCCACACUGGGACUGAGAUACGGCCCAGACUCCUACGGGAGGCAGCAGUCGAGAGGCUUCGGCAACGGGGAAACCUGACCGAGCGACGCCGCGUGGAGGAUGAAGGCCUUUGGGUUGUAAACUCCUGUCAUGUGGGAAGAAACGCCACGUUCAAUAGGACGUGGUUUGACGGUACCACAAGAGGAAGCUCCGGCUAACU